rnacentral:rRNA from 1 species
GAGUUUGAUCGUGGCUCAGGAUGAACGCUGGCGGCGUGCUUAACACAUGCAAGUCGAACGAAGCGCCUUAUUUGAUUUUCUUCGGAACUGAAGAUUUGGUGACUGAGUGGCGGACGGGUGAGUAACGCGUGGGUAACCUGCCCCGUACAGGGGGAUAACAAUCAGAAAUGACUGCUAAUACCGCAUAAGACCACAGCACCGCAUGGUGCAGGGGUAAAAACUCCGGUGGUACAGGAUGGACCCGCGUCUGAUUAGCUGGUUGGUGAGGUAACGGCUCACCAAGGCGACGAUCAGUAGCCGGCUUGAGAGAGUGAACGGCCACAUUGGGACUGAGACACGGCCCAAACUCCUACGGGAGGCAGCAGUGGGGAAUAUUGCACAAUAGGGGAAACCUGAUGCAGCAACGCCGCGUGAGUGAAGAAGUAGUUUCGGUAUGUAAAGCUCUAUCAGCAGGGAAG